rnacentral:misc_RNA from 1 species
UUUAUAACUUACUCUCGCCGCUCUUGUUCUCUCCUGCCUACCGAAAUCGCCACCAUUUCUCUGCAAUUGUUAUCUCUUUUUCUCCGUCUUUACCUUUCCUUCGAAAAUGAAUCCUCAGCAAAACCCUGUAGAUCCCGACCACCCUCAGCUUCCCACCAUCAAGAUGCACCACCCUUCCUCCCCUUGCCACUCCCACCACCACCACCACCUCGCCGCCACCCCUACCCCCACCGCCGGCGCUCGCCGCAAGAUUGGCGUGGCUGUCGACCUCUCCGAUGAGAGUGCCUACGCUGUCCGCUGGGCCGUCCACCACUAUAUCCGUCCAGGUGAUGCUGUCAUCCUCCUCCACGUCAGCCCUACCUCCGUCCUUUUCGGUGCUGACUGGGGUCCACUUCCCCUUCCCAGCCCCACACAAACCCCUACGCAUUCCUCUCAGCCUGACCUCAAUAAAGACGGUUCCAAUUCAUCUCAUGAAGAGCACAGCAAUGGCAAUAGUCAAAAAGAGCGGCAGCUUGAGGAUGAUUUCGACGCCUUUACAUCCUCGAAAGUGGCUGAUCUCGCGAAGCCGCUGAAGGAAGCACAGAUCCCUUAUAAGAUCCACAUAGUAAAGGACCAUGACAUGAAGGAGAGACUGUGUUUGGAGGUGGAGAGGUUGGGGUUAAGUGCGGUGAUCAUGGGGAGUAGAGGGUUUGGAGCUGCUAAACGAGGAAGCGAUGGGAGGUUGGGUAGUGUGAGUGAUUACUGUGUGCAUCAUUGCGUGUGUCCGGUGGUGGUGGUUAGAUAUCCAGAUGACAAGGACGCUGGUGGAAAUGGUGAAGGCGAGGCCAUAGUUAACGUUAACGUGCCUGUGGAGGAGGAAGACGAGAAGGACACCAACCGCAAAGGACUAUAUAGACAAUGAUGUGAAUCAAGAGUUUCUGGUUCCUGUUUAAUUUUAACACGUGUUCAACAUCAACAUGUGAUAUAAGGCACUUGCAUUUGAGACACUUGGAAUAUUUAUCUUAAUGGACAGACAGCUAGCUGGUAAGCUAGUGAAGAAAUUCAAUGUGGAUAGGUCAUAGAUAAAGGAUGAGGCCAAUUAGUUGAAACAGGUAAUGUGUGGAACAUCUUCAAGGAUUUCAUAUGUUAGCAUGUUAUAUUGGCUAAGCACCAAAUAUAAUGUGGUUUGACUGAAAUAUGGAAACAGUACAGCGCAUAUGAAAUGCAAUAGAUUAUGUUGGCAGGUGAUUAACAUUAUAAAUUCUUCCAAAAUUUACAUCGUUAAUUGCAAUCUGGUUAUUGGACUUUUUUAUUAGGUGUUUUUCAAUUGUGUUUAGGGUAGUAUUUGAGCAUUUGACAUUUUAGUUUGAUUCAAGGUAUUGUUCCUUACUUCCUUAGCAUCUCUGUGUAAUUUCUUGACUGCUUUUUUUAAGAGUUUGUUUAAUGUUGUUGCAACAAUUGUUAGAUUGUCUGGCUUAGUUAGCUUGUUGAUGAACAUAUCAAAAUGUAUGCCUGAUCUAUUGCUCUGGAAAGUGUUCAAUCUGUAUUCUGCCCAUUCUAUCUAAUACAUUUUGAUUUAGGGAUGUGUGCUGUUUAUUGCGACCCUCAUGCUUCUCAACUCUGGCUGAAAAGGAGAUAAAUUGUCAUAUCAUUUUUUUUUACUCUUCUUUUGUCUCUCUGAUUGUAAUAUUGUUGUUUGAUGGUGUGUUGUAUAUGGCAAUAUUAUUUUGACCUGUUCUCCUUGCCUCUUAUAAAUAAUUGAACUGCAAUUUGUGUAACAAUAAGGUCAUGGGAACCUAAUUUUGUUGAAAUCCUUGUCAGAAAUGCUGCUUUGGCAUUCAUAUUGGAAUUUUUUAAAUGUAUUUUAGUCAUAAUGGGCCAAUACUCUCCACUCUUCUCACAAACAAAAUAAGAGAUUCUGAGCGGAGACGAAGAAAGUAAAAAUGAAAAACCAGAUGCAUAAUCUUGGCAUUCAUAAUGGGUUUACAUAAAGUUGCAUGUUAAAUGACAUCAAUUUUUUCUCACUUGACAGAUGCGUAGUCUGAGCAUUGGAAUCUAUGGUUAGCUCCUCUUCAUAGCCGGUAUGCUGGCUGUUGCUUGAAAUCUCAUAGCUUCUUCUUAAAGAUCUUUUCCCUUCUUUGCAUUUGAGUGUGGAGUGAUGUUCUUCCGCUUGUCUUUGCAUUUGCUUGUCUUUUUGUUUUCAGUUUGGAUAGCUUUAUACUAUUCAUGCUUUUGCACAUAAUAUUUUCUCAUCCAUCCAUGGCAAACAUGUAAUUGCUUGUAUUUAAUGCAUUUCUCCCUAUAUAGAUCCAAUUAUGCACCUAGGCUGUUUUUUUAUCUUAUAGAUAAUGUAGCAGUCGUCAAUCGACAGAGAUUAGGUGUGGCAUGCUAAGAGGGACACGGUGUUGUUUUGUUGGACUAUCUGCAAAAUUGAAGGUUGUAGAAUGCUCCAUAUGUUUCUCCCUUGUCAACGGUUCCCAUGUAUGAAACUAGAGAGAGCUUGCAGUGAUAUUUGUGUAGCUGAUGAAUGUAAGGUUUUCAGAUUUUCUGCUAUGCCUUUAGAAAAGAUGCUUUUACUGGAUUGUGAUGUACAUCAUUUUUCUCUUGAAGAUUGCAUCUCUCCAAGUUUAUCUGCCGUUUUUAGAAAUUUGUUUAACCAUUCCUUUUAAAACUGAGGAUUGUUUCCAUCUGGAUGUUGGGUGUGGAAUGGCAUGAUAGUCUGUUUCACCCCUGCUGCGGCUCCAAAGGGAAACAAAGGUGCAAAUUACUUGCUAACAACUUUCUUAAGUAAUUUUGGUUAUUAUGGUUAGUCAAUGGCUUUACACUUGAAUAAUUAUAGUUUUUCA